GAUGAAGAACGCAGCGAAAUGCGAUACGUAAUGUGAAUUGCAAAUUCAGUGAAUCAUCGAGUCUUUGAACGCACAUUGCGCCCCCUGGUAUUCCGGGGGGCAUGCCUGUCCGAGCGUCAUUGCUGCCCUCAAGCACGGCUUGUGUGUUGGGCCCCGUCCUCCGAUCCCGGGGGACGGGCCCGAAAGGCAGCGGCGGCACCGCGUCCGGUCCUCGAGCGUAUGGGGCUUUGUCACCCGCUCCGUAGGCCCGGCCGGCGCUUGCCGAUCAACCCAAAUUUUUAUCCAGGUUGACCUCGGAUCAGGUAGGGAUACCCGCUGAACUUAAGCAUAUCAAUAAGCGAGGA
rnacentral:misc_RNA from 1 species